GCCUAUAAUCCAAGUCACUGGGAGGCUGAGGUUGGUGGAUCGAGUGAGCUGAGGAGUUCUGGGCUGUCCUCACUAAGAUCGAUAUGGUGCUCCUGGGGGAGUCUGGUACCACCAGGUCGGCUAUAGAGGGGUGCACUAGCCCAGGUUGGAAACUAAGCAGGUCAAAGCCCACAUGCUGUCCAGCAGUGGGAUAGUGCCUGUGAGUACGUGUUAAAAAUAUCUACUUCAU
ensembl:misc_RNA Metazoa_SRP Metazoan signal recognition particle RNA